GGGGAUGUAGCCCAGAGGUAGGGUAUUUGCCUAGCAUGCAUGAGGCCCUGGGUUCAAUCCCUGGUAACACAA
rnacentral:tRNA from 1 species